UAUGUAUGUAAUGCAGGUUUUGUGACUUUUGUGUAACUAGUCAUAAGGAUAUUUUAGAUAAGUAAACAAUUGAAGAAUACCGGAAGAGCAAAAUUACGCUAAUUGAAAAAAUCGAUUUCGUUAACUAGGUACCUACUCUCACUGUGACACCUGUACGUACGUAGGUAAUCGUUUAUUGUAGAAAAAUAAAAGCUUAUUUAUCUUUAUAAGAUGCACACAAAUAAGCGAUUUCAGUCUAAAUGCUUCAUCUUAAAAAAAAACUAUAAAUUAAAUUAGAACUUACAUUAUUUACGAAGAUACCACUAGCGAAAAUUCAUGAAGUAUUUCAAACACUUUCUAAUUUAGUGUAAGUAGACAUUUUAUUAGGUACAAAAAAUUCAACGAAUGCUCUUUCGAUUGUCAUGCGCUAAAAAUAGACGGAAUAUAAAUUGGCCUGUCUCAGAAAAUAGGUCUGCCACUUUGCCACGGCUAUAAUAUAAAA